GCCUGGGUCGGCUAUGAACAAUUUAUUCCGAUGAUGGCCGAUUGUUCGCCGCUGCUGCUGGAACUGAACGAAAACGAUCCGGGUAUUCUGGUGACGCAGUCCGUUCAUAAACAACAAGCCGGUUUCUCCCAGACCUCGCAGAUCCAUAAAAAAGAUAGCCAUAUCAAAGGGCAAUCGCGCUACGUUCCGCAUAAGCGCAUGAACAACGCCUUUAUGAUGCACGCCUCCACCAGCCCGUUCUAUCCGCUGUUCGCCGCGCUGGAC
rnacentral:misc_RNA from 1 species